rnacentral:tRNA from 1 species
UUCCUAAUGGUCUAGUGGUUAGGAUUUGGCACUUUCACUGCUGCAGUUUAGGUUCAAUUCCUGGUCUGGGAA